GGCCUACUUGUUUUCUACUUUCUCCUCUCAUAUGAAAGAGAACUAAAAUAUCCUACCCUUCAAAAAUCAUCUCUUUUCUACUCUCUUCAUUUUCGUCUUCUAGAAUAAAAAAGUCGGCUCAGCUCGGCUCGGCCUGCUUUUCUUUGACUCUUCCAAACGGAAUAUGUGUCGCUGAGGUCGUGAAAUAACCGCAGCCAUAAAUACGUCUCCCUCUCUCCCUGUGAGUGUGUGUGUGUGUGUGUGUGUGUGUGUGUUUCCCUCCAUGGCUCUGACUCGUCCUGCAAAUAGAGACAAAGACUCUAUUUUUUACUUUAACUUCACUCACUCUCUCUCUCUCUCUCUCUCUAUCUCUCUCUCUAUCUCUCCCUCUCUGAGUCUGCUCAUGAUGAGUUUAAUCCUGGACUCUCUCGUUCUGUGCAGGUUUACAAAUCCACCCACACAAACACACUCAGAUGGGUAAUCUCUAUUUUUACUUUCAUUCUGACCCCUCUCUCUCUCUCUCUGUCUCUCUCUCUCUCUCUCUCUCUGUCUCUCUCUCUCCUCUCUGGCAGGACGCUCCGUUUCCUCUCGGCUUUGUGGGAACGGGAAGCGGCUUCAUUGUGCUCGAGCUGUUGCGGUUUAAUCAUUAAUGAGCUCUGAGAGUCGGACGGGACAGGCAUGAUGCAGCCCACACAACGUGUUUGUAAAAACCGUCUCCAGGCAGCGCGAGCCGUCCGGCCGCGUCCUUCACGGCACCGUGAGCUCGUGCUCAGGGUCAGUUCACCGGACUGUUACCGCGGGGCGCGAGGACCCGGUCACACCACCACCUCACCUAUAAAGGCCCCGGGACGAGUUACAGAUUAACGGAGGGGAGAGAGCGCUGCAUCCCGAGGAGGACGGCGAGCGCACAACUGGAGCAUAAUGUGGAAUUCCCCUGAUGUUCCCGCCAUGAUGAUCAUAAUCUGCACACAGAGAGAGAAUAAAAUCGAGGUGUUUGGAUGUCGAGUAGAAAAGAAAUAAACCAGAGGUGGGGUGGGUGUGAUGGGAGGGUGGGGGGGGCGUGUGAUAUAGAUUUUCCAUUUGAUUUUAACGCGCUGGAGUUGAUUUUCAAAGCCGGAUUGAAGGCGGGUGAUGCUGGUGUCAUAAAUUAAACAGAGCGCUGUGGAUUACUGCCUCCCCUGCAUUCAUGAUCACACACACACACACACACACACACACACACACACACACACACACACACACACACCUGGGGGGUUGCAGAUCUGCAGUAAAGAUGAUGAAACCACAGAGCAAACAGACUUCUUUAUGUUUACUCUCCUGAGCACACGCACGCGCACAGGGAGCCUGAGUUGAUAGGAAACUGUGACACUGACCAAUCAGCAGAGGUUUUACACCCCGGGUUUCUGUUUCCUCCGGGCUGAACGCACACAGAGUCGUUUGUGUGCUCUGUGACGCGCAUGGAUUCCUCCACGCCUCAUUCACCGCCAGGCCGAACCUGCAGCUCCCCCUCCGAGCCACAAAUCUGUCCCCCCCCUCUGCUCUGCCCUCACAUCAAAGAAAGGAAGAAAAGGAGCCAACAAGCUGCAGGACAAAAGACAUGCACGGCCUACACGUAACCGCACAGUGACGGGGUGCGCGCAAAUUCACGCGCUCCCUGUUUCUCCUCAAGUGUGGAUCCAGUGAGGACGGAAAAGUAAAGACGCAGGCACAUCAUCAGUUUGUCGUAAUACAACACACAACACACA